rnacentral:rRNA from 1 species
AUUGAACGCUGGCGGCAGGCCUAACACAUGCAAGUCGAGCGGAUGAAGGGAGCUUGCCCCUGGAUUCAGAGGCGGACGGGUGAGUAAUGCCUAGGAAUCUGCCUGGUAGUGGGGGAUAACCUCCGGAAACGGGCGCUAAUACCGCAUACGUCCUGAGGGAGAAAGUGGGGGAUCUUCGGACCUCACGCUAUCAGAUGAGCCUAGGUCGGAUUAGCUAGUUGGUGGGGUAAAGGCCUACCAAGGCGACGAUCCGUAACUGGUCUGAGAGGAUGAUCAGUCACACUGGAACUGAGACACGGUCCAGACUCCUACGGGAGGCAGCAGUGGGGAAUAUUGGACAAUGGGCGAAAGCCUGAUCCAGCCAUGCCGCGUGUGUGAAGAAGGUCUUCGGAUUGUAAAGCACUUUAAGUUGGGAGGAAGGGCAGUAAGUUAAUACCUUGCUGUUUUGACGUUACCAACAGAAUAAGCACCGGCUAACUUCGUG